GACGAACGCUGGCGGCGUGCUUAACACAUGCAAGUCGAACGGGAAGGCCCUGCUUUUGUGGGGUGCUCUAGUGGCGAACGGGGGAGUAACACGUGAGUGACCUGCGCUUGACUUUGGGGUAUCUUCUGCAAACUGGGGCUAAUAACGCGUAGGAGCCCCUGCUGCGUGUUGGGGGUUGGGAAGAUGGGGCGGUUGGGGAUGGACUCGCGGGUUAUCAGCUUGUUGGUGGGGUAGUGGCUUACCACGGCUUUGACGGGUAGCCGGCCUGAGAGGGUGACCGGGCACAUUGGGACUGAGGGACGGCGCAGUCGCCUACGGGACGCAGCAGUGGGGAAUAUUGCAGAAUGGGGGGAAGCCUGAUGAAGCAACGCCGGGUGCGGGAUGAUGGGCUGCGGGUUGUAAACCGGUGUCGCCGGUGACGAAGCGUGAGUGACGGUAAUUGGUAAAGAAGCAACGGCUAACUACGUG
rnacentral:rRNA from 1 species